rnacentral:rRNA from 1 species
AGAGUUUGAUCCUGGCUCAGGAUGAACGCUGGCGGCGUGCCUAACACAUGCAAGUCGAGCGCGAUUAGUUGGACUGGAGACUUCGGUCAAAGGGAAGAUUAUGAAAGCGGCGGACGGGUGAGUAACGCGUGAGCAACCUGCCCUGUACAGGGGGAUAGCCACUGGAAACGGUGAUUAAUACCCCAUAAACCCAAAGGACCGCAUGGUCCAAUGGGCAAAGUCCAAACGGUACAGGAUGGGCUCGCGUCUGAUUAGCUAGUUGGUGAGGUAACGGCUCACCAAGGCGACGAUCAGUAGCCGACCUGAGAGGGUGAACGGCCACACUGGAACUGAGACACGGUCCAGACUCCUACGGGAGGCAGCAGUGGGGAAUAUUGGUCAAUGGGCGCAAGCCUGAACCAGCCAUGUCGCGUGCAGGACGACGGCCCUACGGGUUGUAAACUGCUUUUGUACGGGAAGAAAAAAUGCCACGUGUGGCGUCUUGCCGGUACCGUACGAAUAAGGAUCGGCUAACUCCGUGCCAGCAGCCGCGGUAAUACGGAGGAUCCGAGCGUUAUCCGGAUUUAUUGGGUUUAAAGGGUGCGUAGGCGGGCUGUUAAGUCAGCGGUGAAAGUUUGACGCUCAACGUUAAAAUUGCCGUUGAUACUGGUGGCCUUGAGUGCGGUUGAGGUAGGCGGAAUGUGGUGUGUAGCGGUGAAAUGCUUAGAUAUGCCACAGAACACCGAUUGCGAAGGCAGCUUACUAAAGCGCAACUGACGCUGAUGCACGAAAGCGUGGGGAUCAAACAGGAUUAGAUACCCUGGUAGUCC